rnacentral:lncRNA from 1 species
AAGAUGUUAUCACCAGAGGAAGCUGCAUUAAAAGUACCCUUCUCUAUGGUAUGUCUUACAACUGCAGAUGAAUCUACGGUUCCCUCAAAACAAAAAGGUUGGGAACAUGACCUAAUGGUGUGCUACCAUGCAGCUCUUUCCAGCUCCAUGUUCAGUGACUUCAUAUUGGCUGGCCUUUGUGACUUGCUUUGUACAGCUGAUGUGACAUCUUGAGACAUCUGAGGUCAAGGCCUUAAGAAGACUGGUCGUUUUUUCUGGAUGCUAAGAGAAGAAAGUGAUUCAAGGAGGAGGGUGUAAUCAACUUCAUCAAGUGCUGCUGACAAGUCAAGUAGGAUGAGGACCAGGAAGUGGUCAUUGGAAAUACCAGUGUGGAUGUCAUUUGCGAUUUGGUAGAUAGUAAUCCGAGUGGAGCAUUUGGAGCAAAAUCCUGGUUUAAGUAGAUUUAAGAAGAAAUUGGAAGAAAGAAAUUGGAGACAAUGAGUACAAAUAACUCUUUCUUCUCUUGCUAGAAAUCCAAGAGCAACAGAGCAAUGACUGAAGGAAGGUGCUGAUAAAUCACAAGAGCAUUUUUUUUCAAGGUGGUAGAAAUAACAUCAGCUUAUCUAAAUGCUGUAAUACACUUCUGAACCUUAACCUAUAAUUUAAAGACAGUACAGACUUGUUGCAAAAACACGAUUUCUAAAAGCAAGGUUAAUCCUUACCACAUAAUAUCUUGGCAAAAAUUAUCUUCCUUGUGUUUCAAUUUCAUCAUUUGUAAUAUGAAUUAAAAUAACCACUUUACAGAGGAGUUGGCCUGGUAAAAUUUUUUUAUUUAAGGUUCUAAGUUUGAUAGUUCUCAUUGUUCCAUAUUCUUUCAUUUGCAACUUGGUAGAAAAUAUCAAAAUUGAUUCCAAGCAAUAAUGAUUUUGAUAAAUGUAUUAGGCCAUUCUUGCAUUGCUGUAAAGAAAAUACCUGAGACUGGAUAAUUUAUGAAAAGAGAGGUUUAAUUGGCUCAUGGUU